AUUGAACGCUGGCGGAAUGCUUUACACAUGCAAGUCGAACGGCAGCACGGGGGCAGCCCUGGUGGCGAGUGGCGAACGGGUGUGUAAUACAUCGGAACGUGCCCGGUCGUGGGGGAUAACGUAGCGAAAGUUACGCUAAUACCGCAUACGAUCUGAGGAUGAAAGCGGGGGACCUUCGGGCCUCGCGCGAUCGGAGCGGCCGAUGUCAGAUUAGGUAGUUGGUGGGGUAAAGGCCUACCAAGCCGACGAUCUGUAGCUGGUCUGAGAGGACGACCAGCCACACUGGGACUGAGACACGGCCCAGACUCCUACGGGAGGCAGCAGUGGGGAAUUUUGGACAAUGGGCGCAAGCCUGAUCCAGCCAUUCCGCGUGCAGUACGAAGGCCUUCGGGUUGUAAACUGCUUUUGUACGGAACGAAAAGGCUCUGGCUAAUACCUGGGGCUCAUGACGGUACCGUAAGAAUAAGCACCGGCUAACUACGUG
rnacentral:rRNA from 1 species